rnacentral:rRNA from 1 species
UCGGGAAUUUUGGGCAAUGGGCGAAAGCCUGACCCAGCAACGCCGCGUGAAGGAUGAAGUAUUUCGGUAUGUAAACUUCGUAAGAAUAGGAAGAAUAAAUGACGGUACUAUUUGUAAGGUCCGGCUAACUACGUGCCAGCAGCCGCGGUAAUACGUAGGGACCAAGCGUUGUUCGGAUUUACUGGGCGUAAAGGGCGCGUAGGCGGUGUGUCAAGUCAGUUGUGAAAUCUCCGAGCUUAACUCGGAACGGUCAACUGAUACUGUCACACUAGAGUACAGAAGGGGCAAUCGGAACUCUUGGUGUAGCGGUGAAAUGCGUAGAUAUCAAGAGGAACACCUGAGGCGAAGGCGGGUUGCUGGGCUGACACUGACGCUGAGGCGCGAAAGCCAGGGGAGCAAACGGGAUUAGAUACCCACGUAGUCCCUGAGCGGGCUGGCAAGGCGCAU